GAUGAACGCUGGCGGCGUGCUUAACACAUGCAAGUCGAACGAUGAAGCCCAGCUUGCUGGGUGGUUUAUUGGCGAACGGGUGAGUAACACGUGAGUAACCUGCCCUUAACUCUGGGAUAAGCCUGGGAAACUGGGUCUAGUACCGUAUAGGAUCGUCCACCGCAUGGUGGGUGUUGGAAAGAUUUAUCUGUUUUGGAUGGACCGGCGGCGGAUUAGCUUGUUGGUGGGGGAAUUGCCCACCAAGGCGACGACCGGUAGCCGGCCUGUGAGGGUGACCGGCCACACGGGGACUGAGACACGGCCCAGACUCCUACGGGAGGCAGCAGUGGGGAAUAUUGAACAAUGGGCGCAAGCCUGAUCCAGCCAGGCCGCGUGUGUGAAGAAGGCCUUCGGGUUGUAAAACACGUUUGUUGGGAAAGAAAAGCAGCCGGUUAAUACCCGGUUGUCAUGACGGUACCCAAAGAAUAAGCACCGGCUAACUUCGUG
rnacentral:rRNA from 1 species